UCAAUAAGCGGAGGAAAAGAAACUAACAAGGAUUCCCCUAGUAACGGCGAGUGAAGCGGGAAGAGCUCAAAUUUGUAAUCUGGCGGUUUCCAGCCGUCCGAGUUGUAGUCUGGAGAAGCGUCUUCCGUGCCGGACCGUGUACAAGUCCCUUGGAACAGGGCGUCGUAGAGGGUGAGAAUCCCGUCUCUGACACGGACUACCGGUGCUCUGUGAUGCGCUCUCGAAGAGUCGAGUUGUUUGGGAAUGCAGCUCAAAAUGGGUGGUAAAUUCCAUCUAAAGCUAAAUAUUGGCGAAAGACCGAUAGCGAACAAGUACCGUGAGGGAAAGAUGAAAAGCACUUUGGAAAGAGAGUUAAACAGUACGUGAAAUUGUUGAAAGGGAAACGCUUGAAGUCAGUCGCGUCUUCCGAGACUCAGCCGGGUCAUCAUGACUCGGUGUACUUCUCGGUAUUGACGGGUCAGCGUCGAUUUCGACCUUCGGAGAAAGGCUCUGGGAACGUGGCACCUUUCGGGGUGUGUUAUAGCCCUCUGUCGUAUGCGACGGUCGGGAUCGAGGAUCGCAGCGUGCCCUUCACCGGGCCGGGGUUCGCCCACGUAACGCGCUUAGGAUGCUGGCGUAAUGGCUUUAA
rnacentral:rRNA from 1 species